rnacentral:rRNA from 1 species
CUACGGGGUGCUGCAGUAAGGAAUAUUGCGCAAUGGAGGCAACUCUGACGCAGCCAUGCCGCGUGCAGGAAGAAGGCCUUAUGGGUCGUAAACUGCUUUUAUUUAGGAAUAAACCCCCGAACGUGUUCGGGGCUGAAGGUACUAAACGAAUAAGCACCGGCUAACUCCGUGCCAGCAGCCGCGGUAAUACGGAGGGUGCAAGCGUUAUCCGGAUUUAUUGAGUUUAAAGGGUGCGCAGGCGGGCUAUUAAGUCAGUGGUGAAAUCCCGGGGCUCAACUCCGGAACUGCCAUUGAUACUGAUAGUCUUGAGUUUGGUUGAAGUGGGCGGAAUGUAGCAUGUAGCGGUGAAAUGCAUAGAUAUGCUACAGAACACCAAUCGCGAAGGCAGCUCACUAAGCCAAAACUGACGCUCAUGCACGAAAGCGUGGGGAUCAAACAGGAUUAGAUACCCGCGUAGUC